UACACCCAUAGUCUCAGUAGAAGAACAUCUGCUUGGCCUGCAGAAGGUCCAGGUUCAAUCCCUGGCAUCAGAU
rnacentral:tRNA from 1 species